rnacentral:rRNA from 1 species
AAUAUUGGACAAUGGGGGCAACCCUGAUCCAGCCAUGCCGCGUGUGUGAAGAAGGUAUUCGGAUUGUAAUGCACUGUAAGUUGGGAGGAAGGGCUUUAGGUUAAUACCCUGAAGUCUUGACGUUACCCGCAGAAUAAGCACCGGCUACCUCUGUGCCAGCAGCCGCGGUAAUACAGUGGGUGCAAGCGUUAAUCGGAAUUACUGGGCGUAAAGCGCGCGUAGGUGGUUCAGUAAGAUGGGUGUGAAAUCCCCGGGCUUAACCUGGGAACUGCUUUCAUAACUGCUGAGCUAGAGUACGGCAGAGGGUGGUGGAAUUUCCUGUGUAGCGGUGAAAUGCGUAGAUAUAGGAAGGAACACCAGUGGCGAAGGCGACUACCUGGACUGAUACUGACACUGAGGUGCGAAAGCGUGGGGAGCAAAC